AGAGUUUGAUCCUGGCUCAGAUUGAACGCUGGCGGCGUGCCUAACACAUGCAAGUCGAGCGGUAACAGGUGUAGCAAUACAUGCUGACGAGCGGCGAACGGGUGAGUAAUGCUUCGGAAUCUGCCCUAUGGUGGGGAAUAACUAGCCGAAAGGUUAGCUAAUACCGCAUAAGUCCUACGGGAGAAAGCAGGGGAUCGUAAGACCUUGCGCCGAUGGAUGAGCCGAAGUCGGAUUAGCUAGUUGGUGAGGUAACGGCUCACCAAGGCGACGAUCCGUAGCUGGUCUGAGAGGACGACCAGCCACACUGGGACUGAGACACGGCCCAGACUCCUACGGGAGGCAGCAGUGGGGAAUAUUGGACAAUGGGGGCAACCCUGAUCCAGCGACGCCGCGUGUGUGAAGAAGGCCUGCGGGUUGUAAAGCACUUUUAGUGGGGAUGAAAUGUGCAGGGUUAACACCUCUGCAUUUUGACCUAACCCACAGAAAAAGCACCGGCUAACUCUGUGCCAGCAGCCGCGGUAAUACAGAGGGUGCAAGCGUUAAUCGGAAUUACUGGGCGUAAAGCGUGCGCAGAUGGUUAUGUAAGUCGGGUGUGAAAGCCCCGGGCUCAACCUGGGAAUUGCAUUCGAGACUGCGUAGCUAGGGUGCGGAAGAGGGAAGCGGAAUUUCCGGUGUAGCGGUGAAAUGCGUAGAUAUCGGAAGGAACACCAGUGGCGAAAGCGGCUUCCUGGUCCAGCACCGACAUUCAGGCACGAAAGCGUGGGGAGCAAACAGGAUUAGAUACCCCAGUAGUCC
rnacentral:rRNA from 1 species